CUAGAGUCUAGGUAUGACCUAUAAAAAGGGGUUAGUCUAUGGGUAUAGGAAAUACUCACAGAAUUAUUACAGAUUUUUGAAUUUGCUGAGUUGAAUUAGAAUAAUUCGUUUUUUAUUCCCUUUUCAAUUUCAGCCCUUUUAAAAAAAUUUAACCCAUAAUCCGGAAACAAAAGCAAACCGGUUUUCCUCUUAACAAUUCACCCACUUCAUUUCCCAUCAAAUCAUUGUCAUUUCCCCCCAAAUAUGUAACGCGAGAGGAAGAUCUGUAGCCCUUCAUUUCACCCAAAAUCGCAAGCAAGAGGAAAAUCGCCCGUUUCUUCAUCGCCGACAUCUGAACCACUGCCCAGUGUGCACCAUUGGAUGUAGCCCACCGAAACCGAACGUGGAAAUAGUAUUUGAAGACGGCAGUGGAAUCGUAGAUGAUGGACAAAGGUUUUUUCAUUUUUUCCUCAUUUUGUUUCAGCAAUUUAUUGUGGAAAGCUUGCCUCUAUGCCCUUUUCUUAAUAUGCGAAGCUUGUUACUGCAUCUUUGUUGGGCUCUAAUAAUUGUACUAGAUCUUUUUUGUUGAAUACUAGAGGAUUAUAUGUUGUGCAAGGGUAGUCAAAGGGGAUCUUAGAUUUAGUUAGGUAUUAUCUAACAUGUGGACACCUGAACAUUUGAUUAGUUAUGGACUCGAGGGGAUUUCAAUGAGUGUUAAUUGAACAUCUUAUUUCAACAAUUCUAUUUAGAGUUUCUCAAGUUUAGUUAAAUUUAAAAAUUUGUCAAUUUAAGCUAUGGGAUAACUGAUACUCAGGUUGAGGUCAUUUUAACGUUUAAGCUCGUUGUUCGGAGUGGUUUAACUCCAUGGAAAAUCGAACAAGCUGACUUGAGGGUUGUCAUUAUUCCUUCUAUUCCGUACCCAAUCAUUCAUGUAGAUGUGAAUUGUCUCUGUGUAUAAUUUUGUUUGCAAAACCUUGUUGAGUUAGAUCAAAUCAGAAACACUAGUUUGAUAAGAUUCUGGAAUUGAGGAUGGGAUCAAUCUACUGUAUAUAUUUUAGGGUAAAAAGUAGAUAUAUGUAAAAUGAAUUUUAGAGAUUUCCUUGAUUAUUCUGUUCACGAACAUUUGUGAAUGAAAAAAUAUAGUUCAUGUUCGGUCCGUUAUGAAAGAAUUUAGAAGUACAUUUUCUGUGAAAUAUUUUUUUGCACUAAUCUUUCACAUACGCUUCUCAGCCCUCAUGUAUGCACCCAAGAAAACCGAAUUAUGCAGCUCGAGUGAUCGUGUAAUUUGAUCUUCCUAAUUUGUAACAAUUUGCAGACAUUGAGUAAAAGGCAGGAUUGAAAUCGUGAAAGAAUUGGUUCGUACGAAACCUGAUGCAGCUUGAGUGAUCGUGGGUCAAGGACAGACCAUUGUGCAUUUGUGUGUGAAGUACUAUCAGAUUCAAGCCUUCAAGAUCUUAGUGUAAAAACUCCUAAAACUGUUGUUACAUGCUAAUUGAUUUCGAACACUUUUCGUGGUCGGAGUUUGUCUUGUUGGAACUAAAAUCGAGUUUUGUUCACGUGACUUGGCCCUGGGAAAUGUUUAUAUAAAUUUUGAUUUGGACUUCUGAUUUUAAUGCAAAACAGGUACCAACAUUGUUUUUUUUUUUGUAUUUUAUAUUCAAACUUGUUUGUUUUUUUGUAUUUUAUAUUCAAACCUGUUUGUUUGUUUAAUGCAAAGUGAGGCAAAUUUAUUCUGUCAAUGUACAUCUUGAAGAAGCCUACUAAUUCUUGAACAAAAUUGUGCAAAAAUAUUAAAACAAGCCUACUAAGCAAUACAACAAUUCGCAAAAUAUUAAACUUAUGUCCAAAGCUCGAACGACGUUGACAAAAUUAAGCAUUGAAUAUCGAAGACUACUAUGACCAAUAAGUUCUUAUAGUAAAAAUAAAGCACAUAGCAAAUACAAAUUGACAUCAUCCAUUCACAUCGGUCCUUUCUCUUCGCAUCACUUUCUACAAUUCCUUUUCCUUUGCAAAAUGUAACGUGCAGUGUUAUGUCGACAUCUCGUUUCUCGAUAAUUCGAGCUAGGCUAUUGUCACAACCUAGACAUAGAAUUUCACAUUUUUUUUUUCGAGUUUGUUAACUUCUAAUCACCUGUGACACGAUCAUAUAAUAUAUCGAAACCCAAAAUCAUAUCGCCAUAAUCCAACAUAUAUAUUCAGAGCUUAUAAACAUGUCUACAAACCAUUUCAAAAGUACACUAUAUAGGAUUCCAAAAUAUAACCCUACAGAUGGCAGCCUACAAAAUAACCUUACAGGUCCUCAUCCAUGUACAUCGAACUCUGGAAUCCUGUAAGAGCUCCACAGCUAGCCAUGCUCUCUAUGUAGUUCCAUGUUCACCUACAAUACAAGAACUACAU
rnacentral:lncRNA from 1 species